AUGGUCAGCGUCACCGAGCUGUGCCCAUUGUCCCUGGAGAUCGUGAACCGGCCCUUGACUGACGGCGCGUAUAAGGGGCUCCGGGCGACCGUGACCCUGCUGGAGUGCGGGGGGGACCUCCAGCCCCCCGGGCGAUCCCUGACUCUGCUCUGCCAUGGAUCUGGGUUCGAUUUUGGGAACUACGAAAUCUACUGGAUCCGCCAGAGCCCUGGGAAGGUGCUGGAAUGGAUUGCACAGAUCAACAGCGCUGGUGACAACUCCGAGUAUGCCCCCUCGGUCAAGGGCCGGUUCUCGCUCUCCAGGGACAACGGGCAGAGCUCGGUGACGCUGACCAUGAACAACCUCAAGGACGAGGAUUCCGCCGUUUACUUCUGCGCCAGAUGUUACACCAAUAACUGUGAAUGGGCGGCUUCUGCUGUUGUUGAUUUCGCACAUGGUGCUGGCUGUGUCCCAAUGCGGGAAGAACUGGCUCACCAUAUGUCCUAA